CCUACGGUGGGCUGCAGUGGGGAAUAUUGCACAAUGGGGGAAACCCUGAUGCAGCGACGCCGCGUGAGUGAAGAAGUAUUUCGGUACGUAAAGCUCUAUCAUCAGGGACGAAAAACCGGCCUUAGGGCCGCCAGACGGUACCUGACUAAUAAGCCCCGGCUAACUACGUGCCAGCAGCCGCGGUAAUACGUAGGGGGCAAGCGUUAUCCGGAUUUCCUGGGGGUAAAGGGGGCGUAGACGGCAGCGCAAGUCUGGAGUGAAAUGGCGGGGCCGAACCCCGGAACUGCUUUUGAAACUGUGCAGCUGGAGUGCAGGAGAGGUAAGCGGAAUUCCGGGUGUAGCGGUGAAAUGCGUAGAUAUUAGGAGGAACACCAGUGGCGAAGGCGGAUUACUGGACUGUAACUGACGUUGAGGCUCGAAAGCGUGGGGAGCAAACAGGAUUAGAUACCCCGGUAGUC
rnacentral:rRNA from 1 species